rnacentral:lncRNA from 1 species
AUGAGCCUGUGUCCGAGUUUCCUUCGCUCUCAGCCUGGCGGUUCAAUUCCUUUGCAGACCACUCGUGAGCCAAAGCUGUUCCCAUCUGGCAGCUGCUACGGAGCUGCUCGAAGCUGGUUUUYGCUCCAGUCCAUUUCUCAGCAUUGGUUAACGCUAAGCAGCUCUCUGUCCGGCACUUUAAUAAACGGAAGCAGUGCUCCUAGAUUCGAGCUCACAGCACUCCGUUCCCCGUGCCGAAGCCCAAGYGCUGCUUCACCGAUCCCCUUGAAUCCUUUUAACUCAUCGAAGGAGCUGCAACGCCAGGAGGGAGCCUCUCUGCGGCUGGGUGUUUCCAUUCGCUGGAACAACUGCGCAAGGAGGCCGCGUGUCCYGCGCACUUCGGAGCCUCUGCUCGUCAUCGAAGCCCUGGAUGACUCGGGGAUCCGCAAGCAGCUUCGUAGCACCCAUAGGUGA